GUGCAGCGCGAAAUUCAUGAGAGAAGGAUCGAGCGCUGAAUUCUUUCUUCGUUCAUUGCGUUUCAUGAGUUCAGCCACAUUGAUUUUCCGUCCUUUUGAACCAUUGCUAUUACUGUGCUACCAUUAUGACGAAGCCUCGUCUAGCUGUAUCUGGCUUCUGACGGCCCUUUUUGUACAGAAGUACCUUUGGCCCUACCCUGACCUGCCUAGGAAUCACGGAAGCCCUUUCUGCCUCACCGACUGCCGGCCCCCACCGACACCAGAGAUCGCCCCCGGGCCAAGUUCACCCCACCAUACGGAUGGUGUUCAACCCUGCAACUAGACUAAAUAUCCCCCGACAUCUCUACCCCCUGGCGACAUGGCUAUCAUCGGUGGUCCAAAGCGCCCAGCGACCCGAAAUGGAAUUCAACAAACUAUCGGGGUAAUUUUCAUCCCUUGCCCCACCACGCCAGUCUCUCUGGGUCUUUCAAGGAGAUAUUUCGCCGUAGGGGCAGGGGCGGUGCACUGCGUUAUCCCGGCUAUAGGCUGGGUGUUUCUUAAGAGGGCCCUUGUUAUGCUUGUAGUAUUUUGCCGGGGGGGGGGUUCCUUCACCCUGAUGAACAAAAUAUCUAACGAUUGUAGCGUAAGUGAUUGGUUUAUAAAUAUAAUACGCUACUAUUAGAGUAAAUAAUUGUCACUGAGUGGGAUUGCUGUAGCUUGUGCUGGCUGGGUAUUGUUGCUAUACAGCCUAAGGCUAGACGUCUGGUAACCUUACAGACAGUCUUGUACAGUGAAACCACUUUAGCAGUUGAAUGGAUCUGGACCAGUAAAGUCUCUAGGUUUGCAUGUACGCAGCUGACGCCCACAUGAUAAGACAAACUAUCAGGUAAUGUCGAGGAAAUGAUUAUCUGUGGUGCUGGCUGGUUACUCUUGAGAUACUUGAUGUAGGCUCUUAUACUUACUAUCAAUUCCUUGUUUUUAACCGAAAUGGAAAAAAAAUCCUCUCAAACAAGUUACGACGUUCUCAUAAAACACGCUAUGUAUGUGAGCAUUAUAGAGCUAUGGUCGAUUUCACAAUAGAACAACAAUUUAACUCACAACUUCCACUGGCCCAUACUACUUUAAAGAUUGAGCAUGCGCUAUCCAAAAAGUCCUUCACAUGAAAAUCAAAUCACAAGUCAUUCAACAUACAUGACUUGCAACUCAGUGCCGACAAUCCAUUGUCUAACAUCACAAAUACAGUGGUUUGAAACUUAUUCCAUAGAUCUAUGAUAUAUAGAAACAAAAUCCUGUACAAGAACGAAAUCAACACAAGUCCCCCACUUCCCGAUCAUAAAUCAUUAUCAAACAUCAAAAAAAUAAUUAAUUCAUCACUCAACACCAAAAACCAUAACCCAGUUUUAAGACCCGAGCUUUGAGAACAAUAAUUAGAAUGCGUUUUCUUUAAAUUCCAUUUGAAGAAAUUGUCAAACCAUUUGCAAGAAAACACAGCUAUUUAUGCCGAUUCACAACUCAGCAAUACAAUAAAUCUGAGGUAGGUUAUUACUGUAAACAUCUAUCCUGUUGAAAUAUCAGCUCAUAUAACUGAAUCCUACUUUUUGAGAAAACUGUAAAAAUGCAUCUUCAUUUUUCUCGAUGCAAGGCAAGGUUUUAACUUGAAAGUCCUCCCUUCCAAAAUGUACAUUAGGCCUACAUGUAAAACGUUUAGAUUGCACCUUCUUGUGGUGCGAUCCCCACUUUGUAAAUUGGGAAAAAUAAUAUUACCGAUUGCAAACUAAACAAAAUUCAGCAAAUGAUUAAAAAAAAAAACCUGUUUAUUUUCCUCGUGAUGGUUGGUCCUAACUAGGCCUGGGCGAGUAGUGGAUUUUUUUCUACUCGAGUACUCACAAAGAAAUUACUCGUGAGUAGUCGAGUACUAGCGAGUAGUUAACCAAAUUCCCAGGAAAGCAGAACAGUGACAUGCGUUAUUAUGAUGUGAAUUAACUUUGUAAGUCACACCACAUUCUUAAGCACUGAGAUAUCCUUACUGUGCGAGGUUUUGGGUCAUUUACUUGAUUUUUUUUUUACGAAUGGAAUCCUAGGGAGAGAGAGAUGGAGGGAGUGAUUCCCUGUUUGCAGGGGACGUAUUUAGUCGUCAAUUCUAAACCUUAAAUUGCUACUCACGAGUACCUGACUUCUACUCGCGCCAGGGCGAUUACUCGAGUAGAUGGAAAACCAGGAGUAGAACGAGUACUCGAGUAAUCGAGUUACUGGCCCAGCAGAAGUCCUAACCAUCGCGACUAAUUGAUGUUAAUUUCUCUUUUCUCGAAAAUGACAGCAUACUAUAGGCGCAAUGCUUUCACAAUGAUGCUUGAUCCUAUUAUCUACACACAGUCAAGAAGGAUAUUUCAUAUUGGCAGUAUAACCUUUGAAUGUUUGCAAAUGGUGUUCAUUAUCUUAAAGCUAAUUUAUGUUACUCAUUGAUAGACAAAUAUUCUGCAGCUUAACACUUGAAUUAUAUGAAAUCAAGCCAUAUUUCAUAUACAUGUAUAUAUAUAUAUUUUUCUCAAAUACAUUUUCAAAAACUAAAAAUCAAUAGAGCAUUCAUCAUCUAAAUCAACCAUUCAUUAUAUUUUAAAUGAGUUGGUUAUGGUCUAAUUUAAGCCAAUUCGAUUGAUUUAAUUUCAUGUUAUUCUAAUACAAGUAUUUUUUUCUAAAGUA
rnacentral:lncRNA from 1 species